rnacentral:rRNA from 1 species
UACGUAGGGUGCGAGCGUUAAUCGGAAUUACUGGGCGUAAAGCGUGCGCAGGCGGUUUUGUAAGCCAGAUGUGAAAUCCCCGGGCUUAACCUGGGAAUGGCAUUUGGGACUGCAAGGCUUGAGUGCGGCAGAGGAGACUGGAAUUCCUGGUGUAGCAGUGAAAUGCGUAGAUAUCAGGAGGAACACCGAUGGCGAAGGCAGGUCUCUGGCUGGACACUGACGCUCAUGCACGAAAGCGUGGGGAGCGAAACAAACG